CUGAAAACAUCAACACAGGUGGAUUUCACCAACAUGUGUGACUGAAGUUUCCUGAGAAGAAGAAGACUGGAAUCCUGACCAGCCCAUCCCCUGUGCGGGCGGCGAAGCCUUGAUUUACAACUCUGGCUGGGAAAGCAUUUCAUUCUCUUCCCGGAUCCCCAGUCACUCCCUCCCUCACCAUCUAAGCGGCAACCAUGCUCCCAAAGACCUGCUCUACCAUAAAGGUAAGAAGCGAGGUUUCAGUACUCUGCAUGGGACACCCCAAACCCGCUCGCUCCCUGCCACACACACACACACACACACACACACACACACACACACGCCUCUGACAAGUACUGAACAGCCCAGUCUCUGUAAUCCCCCCCCCACCACCACCACCACCAAUCCAGAGAAUCCUGGAGGAUGAGAGGAGAGCGGUGGGACACCCUUUGGCCUGCAGCUGCUGCCGCCACUCCGGCUCCUAUGUCCGGAGGGAUGGGCUGGCAAGAGAGGAUAGUUUUAAAUCUGAUUUCUCCAAGGAUCUUACCUCCUGCCUCACUGAGUCACUGAAAGGAGCCGUUGAGGACCCGGGGCCACCUGGCGGCCGGCCAUCUACCAGGUCAGCAGUAGCAUCCCCAGCACUGUGCUCAGGCGAUGGACAGGAGGGGCGGUUCUCUUGGGAAUGAUAACCGGCCCUGACCAAGGAGCCAGCCCGUGAUGGAAACAACUAGGGUUCCCCAGCUGAGGAUUUAGUCCUGGUUGCAGAGUCCACACCCCGGCACAAACCUACCACGUGACUGAAGGGCGGCCUCCCACCCAGUGGGCCUGAAGUCCUGUCCAGAAGCUCUGUGAUCCUGCCAGGGAGGCAAGACCGAACCAAGGAGCCCACUUUUCUAACGCCCUCGACUGGGCUGCCAGGUGCGAUAUACAGCACACCUCAUCCCUUCCAGCCCUUCAGCCCAUCACAGCCACGGCAAUCAGCCACCGGCCCCUUGCCCCGCACUCACCUCGGGGCCCGGCGUCUCCACCGCCAGCUUCCUUGUCCGCCAUGGUCCUGCAGCCUCAGCCCGGGAAAGGAGCCUCCGGUGCUAAAUCUUAGGCUCCCGAGCUAGGUCUGAGCCUCUGGACAGCGGGAGCACCACUCUGACGCUGCCGCCGCAGCCCGGGCUCCUCCCCACGCUCCUCCCGGGCCCGCCCCACGGAGCCAAGGCCCUGGAGAAGGAGGGAGUUGGCUCCUCCCACAAGCUCUGAAACCGCUGGUCGCCGCCCAGCCGAGGCCACACCCCGUGCUGUCAUUAGCGCACCAGGACUCAGCUUGGGCGGUGGAGGGUCAUAGCUGAGCAGGGGUCUCUGCAGCUGAUCCAACCCGGCGGACACAGAAGCGCACAAGGUCGGAUUUCAAGCUCUGGAGUUCCCGCCAGACCCUUCAGCAAGCACUGCACACUCAGCAUUCCAUGCGAAGCACACUCCAGUCCACAUCAAUGGCCUCUGCUCCUAGGUCCCAGAGGAGCACACCAAAGCAAGCACUGGAGACCCUGGUGCAGCCGGGAGCCAGGCCACAACUUGUGCAGGGCUGAGGCCCAGCACCCCCACCAACUUUUCCUCUUCAGGGUGCCUACAGGACUGCAAAGCAACUCUUGACCCACGGAGGUACUUGUCGCAGAGACUGUGUUGCCCUUCCAUAUACGGGAUGCAUCCCUGGCCCCAUUAAAAUAGGACAUUAAUAAUUCAAAACUUC